ACACGACUACAUUAGAUACCCGGGUAGUCCCAGCCCUAAACGAUGCGCGUUAGGUGUAUCGGUGACCACGAGUCACCGAGGUGCCGAAGGGAAACCGUGAAACGUGCCGCCUGGGAAGUACGGUCGCAAGGCUGAAACUUAAAGGAAUUGGCGGGGAGCACCACAACGGGUGGAGCCUGCGGUUUAAUUGGACUCAACGCCGGAAAUCUCACCGGAUAGGACAGACAUAUGAUAGUCGGGCUGAAGACUCUACUUGAUGAUCUG
rnacentral:rRNA from 1 species